rnacentral:rRNA from 1 species
GUAGGGGGCAAGCGUUAUCCGGAUUCACUGGGCGUAAAGGGAGCGCAGGCGGCACGGCAAGUCCGGUGUGAAAGCCCGGGGCCCAACCCCGGGACUGCACUGGAAACUGCCGGGCUGGAGUGUCGGAGGGGCAGGCGGAAUUCCUGGUGUAGCGGUGAAAUGCGUAGAUAUCAGGAGGAACACCGGUGGCGAAGGCGGCCUGCUGGACGAUGACUGACGCUGAGGCUCGAAAGCGUGGGGAGCAAA